rnacentral:rRNA from 1 species
CACGUAGGGCGCAAGCGUUGUCCGGCAUUCUUGGGCGUAAAGAGCUCGUAGGCGGUCUGUUGCGUCCGCUGUGAAAACCCGGGGCUUAACCCCUGGCUUGCAGUGGAUACGGACAGACUAGAGGUAGGUAGGGGAGAAUGGAAUUCCCGGUGUAGUGGUGAAAUGCGUAGAUAUCGGGAGGAACACCAGUGGCGAAGGCGACUUCCUGGCCUGUUCUUGACGCUGAGGCGCGAAAGCUAGGGUAGCAAACGGG